rnacentral:lncRNA from 1 species
UGGUAAUAGAUUUAUCACUGCCACUUAAUGUAAGAGAAUUUCCUAAAAAUCUUAUAUUAAAAAGUAUAAUACAGUAUACUACAAUAAUGUGCAAAUGAUGAAGUACAAUGUUGCAAUAGUUCAUUUUGGUGUUUAAUUAUUACAGUAAUUUUUAUUAUGUAAAUUUAAAAUUUUAGUAUUAGGUUUUUUUAUUUAACUAUAAAAAUAUGAUGUUAUUUUAAUAAACACAUACACAUACAUGCCGUGUAUAUGUAUUCAAUGAAAUUAAAAUUACAACAUACACAAACGAUUACAUUUAUCUGAAAAUAUACAAAUGCAAAUGUAAAGAUGACCUAUGAAAAUGAUUAAAAUAUCAGAACAAUCUUCUAGAUGUGAUAGUAAAUAUAAAUCAGAAUGUGAUUUGUGAUUUAAAUGUUCCAUAUAUUUCUGUCAAACAAACAACUUUUUAAAUUGAAGAAGCUUGUUCCUGAAGAAAAAUUACUUUGAAUCAGAAUACAUGUUCACAAGGAAUAUAACUACUUGAUUAAGAAAAAAUAGAUAAUUAACCUUCAUGAGGCUGGGUGGUCAACUCAGUGUACAAGGAAUGAUCAAAAAGUUUGUAUAAUAACACAAUAUCUAUUUUACCCACUCAAACUAAAAUACUUCUAGUCAUCUUUCAAAAUACCUCCCUUGUACACAUGCACACACACACACACAAAUGCCUCCACAUCAAUGAGCCUGCUAUUAUUUGAAAAAUCAGGAGAAUUCAGUUUUUGAUAUUGUCUGUAAUCAGGCUUUCACAUUGGUUUUGAUAUUGUCCAAACUGUUAAAUCUUUUCCUUUUCAUAGCUGUUUUAGUUUUAUUAAUAGUCAAGUUUAUGAGGGAGCCAAAUCAGGAAUAAGAAGUUGUGGUACUAAAGGAAUGUUAUCAUUUGCCAAAAAUUCUUUGACUUGCAGUGUGUUGUGAUACAGCACAUUAUUGUGAUGGAGAAGCUAUUCUUUACUGGAAUUAUUGUUAAAACCAAAAUCCAGAAAUAUACCUUUAUGAUAACAUGCUGAAAUGGAAGUUCGACGAUCAAGUUAUCACACAAUAAAAGAACUUUUCUACUAGAUGUUACCAUUUGUUGACAAAAUUGCCAUUAUACAAACUAUUUGAUUGUAUAUGGAUAUAUAUUAGUUAGAUUAACAUUAUAGUUCAAUAGUUUAUCUGGAAAUGGCUGAGGGAAAGCAUCCACCCCCAUAAAGUUGGGACUAAUCAGCAUAAUGAUUGUCUAAUUCACUGAUAAGUCCUAUUGAUGCCUAUAGCUAUUCUUUCAGGAAGAAUACCAAGCUAGAACAGCUAUUCCAGUCUAGUAUGAAUUACUGUAAUUUAAGAUCUGGAUGAUACUGAAAUUUUAGAACCUGCUGAAUCCCUUUAUAGCUGGUAUGCAUAAUUCCUUAUUUCAGCAGAUAACAUCUGCUCAUAUAUGACAAAUAUCUCACAGUAAUGUCUUAUGAGAUACUGUACAAGCAUGCUAUUAUGCCUAUAGAUAUUAUGCUAUUAUGCCUAUGAUAGAUCUCCAGGUUUAUUCUCAAAUAGAAAAUAUUCAAGAUACCACAAGAUGUUAUCUACAGGCUCAGAUACAGCCAGUGCAGACUACUGAAGCUCUUCUACAUGUUGAACAUGGCAAACAGCACCCUAAAACUCUAUAUGAUAUCUAUGGUUUUGUGACACAAGAGUUAGCAAAAUGCAGUGUUAACAAAGAUGGAACCAUCUUGUACUAGUAUGGCCAUGUAAGCCAAUUUUUACAUCAUACUCUGGAAAUCUUUUCAUUCAAUCUUUUUACUCUGGAAAUUUUAUCAUUGUCUUAUUUACUAGCUAACCAGUCCUAUCCAUAAAUUUUAGGCAAAUUACACAUUCUCUUCUUUGUGUUGCAAUUUUAGUUUCAUUAAGAAUAGAGGAUGAUCAGUUAAUGAACACAAUCUGUUCAAAGAUGAUGUUUGCUACUUGAAUUUUUCAUUAACUGAUCAUCAAUUUACCAUAAAUUUUUAUGGAAUUUGAUUAAUUUGUUCUGGAGACCUA